GCGGCGCGCAGAGCGUGGUGGCGCCGGUGCGCUCCAGCUGCGCCAGCAGCGCGGCCGCGUUGAACGGCGCCUGGUUGAUCACCAGGAUCGUCGCCCC
rnacentral:tRNA from 1 species